rnacentral:rRNA from 1 species
UCGAACGAGAAAGCCCGCAAGGGUGAGUAAAGUGGCGCACGGGUGAGUAACACGUGGGUAAUCUGCCUCUGGGUGGGGAAUAACUCUGGGAAACCGGAGCUAAUACCGCAUAAUCCUGAGAAGGAAAAGGAGAAAUCCGCCGAGAGAGGAGCCCGCGGCCGAUUAGCUGGUUGGUGAGGUAAAAGCUCACCAAGGCAAUGAUCGGUAGCCGGCCUGAGAGGGCACACGGCCACACUGGCACUGAAACACGGGCCAGACUCCUACGGGAGGCAGCAGUGGGGAAUCUUGCACAAUGGGGGAAACCCUGAUGCAGCGACGCCGCGUGAGCGAUGAAGCCCUUCGGGGUGUAAAGCUCUUUCGGCAGGGACGAUAAUGACGGUACCUGAAGAAGAAGCUGCGGCUAACUACGUGCCAGCAGCCGCGGUAAUACGUAGGCAGCGAGCGUUG